AUGGGGAACGUGUUCCCAGAAUCUACUUCCGGCCUGGUAUUUAGGGACCAGAGAUCGAGUUGGGCUCGUGCUACAGCUAGGGCCACUUAUGGAUGGAAUCCUCCCCGGAGCUGUGCCCAAGAGCCUCUGGCAAUUCCGGUAAGAUUGCUCUUCGUGUUGCUUUAUGUCCUGUUUAUUCUCUCGUGUUUUUGUUAAAGU
rnacentral:lncRNA from 12 species